UUGGUCGCAGCGCCUGAAGCCUGGUCACGGAGCAGAGAGUUUGCCUAGAGUUUGCUCAGAGUUGGAGUAAUAGAGUCAACAAUUACUAGAUAUUAAAAG